UCAAAUAAAGUUCUAGGUAGAUAACUGAUAAUGACAAAUUUCUAUCUAUAUGUCUUGACCAAGUCUUGUGCCAGCAGUCGCGGCAAUACAAGGAAGACUAGUGUUAUUCAUCUUUAUUAGGUUUAAAGGGUACCUAGACGGUUAUGAUAGCUCCAAAAGAGUACGUCAAAACUAGAGUUUGAUAGGAGAGGUAAAUAUUAGGGCUAUUGGUGUAGAGAUGAAAUUCUUUGAUACUAAUAGAACGGAUAAGGGCGAAGGCAACCCUCUAUGUAUAAACUGACGUUGAGGGACGAAGGCUUGGGGAGCAAAUAGGAUUAGAUACCCUAGUAGUCCAGGCAGAAAAUUAUGAAUGUUAUAUAUAAAUGAAAGUGUAAGCAUUCCACCUCAAGAGUAAUGUGGCAACACAGGAACUGAAAUCAUUAGACCGUUUCUGAAACCAGUAGUGAAGUAUGUUAUUUAAUUCGAUGACCCUCGAAAAACCUUACCACACAGGCGUUGCACGGCUGUCUUCAGUUAAUGUCGUGAGAUUUUGGUUAGAUCCAUUAAAUUAACGUAAACCC
rnacentral:rRNA from 1 species